CUGCACAAAACUAGCUUGUUAAAAGUUAAAGUUUGCGAUAGAUAUGAUAACAUCCAAGAAUUGGUUAUUGGAGAUCUAGGAAUUAAUAGCGUCAUUUUCCAUUUGAUGGAUUUAGUAAGUUUGGAUUUAUGGAGAUCUUAAUAUUAUUUGAAUUGGGUUGGAAUAAGCUUUUUGAGCAUUUAAAACCUGUCAAAAUAUAGAAAAGGUGCUCUGCUCUUAAAGUUUCUCUCUUUCUGAUGAACCAGAUUAGUAAAGAACUUUAGAGAUUUUAUGUCUAAGGUGUAAGUUUGGUUGACUAACUUUUGGUCUCUCAACAUGAAGAGUUCGCCUCUGUUAGAAAAAAAUAGCAAUCAUGAUUGGGUGUCAAGUCAAGUAUACUAUUUUUCCUUUCCUAUUUUAAUUGUUGAGUAAAUUUACUGGUUAUGCUGUUUAGCUCAUGUCCUUCAAAGUCUCUAAUGAUCUUGAAAUAAAUAUAGGGAAAUAAAUACCAAAAUAAUGAAGAAAUCUUUCUGUUAGCAAUGGGAUUUUAGGCCUAAACAUAGCAUAUUUGAGAAACUGUUUUCUGAGUUUGGCAUUGGGCAAUUUCUUAUGGUUUUUCUUGAAUCCCAAACUUUACUGUCUGAGUUUAUCUGUCAUUCACAGUUUUCUAUUAAUUUUAGUUCCUCCUGUGGUAGCAUUUCAGCCAGUGGGGGCGUGCGUAAGAAGGUGAUUAGAAACAUACACGACAUGCUGGGUGCCUACAGGAUAGCUAAUGACCGGUGAGAGUGAUGUCUUCAAACCAACAAAAGUCAUUUGAGCAAACGGUGCACCACGAAAUGAUUGUAGAUUCUAUGCCAACUAAUCAACCUCUUGUAGGUGUGAAAACAUUCUUUUACAGCACCUAACAUUUAAGGGAAGAUUUUAUACGACUUUGGGCAUGUAUAUGUAUAUCCAACUUAUGUGUUAUCCAUAUGUUCUCACUUGUAUUUAGCAGUCAUUUCUUGGCAUUUGAGUACUCAUAUCAUGUAUCGCAUGCCAUUCAUUGUAUGGAAAUCAUGAAUGAGCUAUAUGCCAUGUAUAUAGUGUGCAUGACAUAAAUGUUAAUAAAAUUGACAAAGUAAUCCAGAUAGUUUUGUUUGUUUGUUAUUCAAUAUGAACUGAAUCAAUUAUUUAAUAGUGUCCUUGCAAGUGUUAAAACCUACCUGUGUCAUAUAUACUAAGUAAAUAUGUGUAAUCUUUUUCUUGCUUUCUUGCUCUUGCAUACAAAUGGACUCAGCAAUCCCUCUGUAAAACAAUAGGACUGAAAGACUGAUACCACAUUAUUAAGACUGAUUUGGAAGAUGUUCUUUAUCUUUAGUGAUUAUUUGGCUAUUUGUUUUUUCUAUUAUGCUAAUAUAUAUGCAUUACUGAAAGUAGCACUUGUUGCAAGCUAUCUUGGGUUCUCUCUCAUGCAGAUUUAAAAUCAACUCAGCAUGGGAGGCGGUUUCAUGUUUUCUGCCAACUCAGCCACUUUCUCCGCCGCCUCGCCUUCGUCUCCCAAUCCAACUCUGGCUGUUUGCGUCCAACUUCAACCAUACUAUUGCUCUGAAAAGGACACCUUUUGUAGGCCGGUUCCUUCUCGAGUAGAAGUUGAAACUGCAAUUCUUGAACUCCAAAGUUUGAAGAUCGCAACUUUUUUCCAUUUCAUGUUAAAGAAAAAUCAACUUUUGAUUUUAAUCUGGUGUUUAUCUUUGUUUCUUUACUUCCUUAUCUUGGAAUUGUCGGAAUCAAGGUUGUUUUUCUCUUGAUUAGAUGGGAUUACGAUGAUUUAUGAAUGAUAAGGCUGAACUUCAUUUA